CCAGAUUAGGCCUCAUGACUGCUGUCCAAACCACAUCAAGAGAUCCAAAGCUGCAUCCUAAUAUUAGUGAUGGGAUAUGUUAUUGGGUUCUGGUUUCUUUAGGGUACUGUCUAUUCAGCCACACCAACCUCACGGUUCUAUAAUGUCUGUGUUUCAGGCUUCAUUGAGUCAGUGUGUGUGUGUGUAGUUCAAAUGAAAGCAGAAUGGGAAAACCGAAGUAACCCGUGAACAUGUCAGAAGCUGUAUCGUGACUCUGUUCACUUCCUCUUCCUCGUCCUUUCGAGUGAGUGAGUGAGUGAGUGAGUGUGAGAGUGUGAGAGAGAGAGGGAGAUACAGCGAUACACACAGCGAAAUCAUAUGAAAGGUGCUAAGGCCGGAAGUGUUCGGAAAGAGGAAGUUGAGAGUUGUGAGUCAGAGACAAGAAAUUGGUGUGAAGACAGAGAUACACUCAGAGAAACAAGGCAUGAACAAAUUAGAGUAAGUAUGGUGAAGUGGAAAAAAGGACAGAGGUAAAAAACAAACAACGGAUGAAACUGAACUGGAAAACACAACAAAAAGGCAACAAGUGAAGAGGAAAGGAGAAGGCUGAACGUUGCGACAGAUGACAGAGUCGGAUAUGAGAAAACGCCGUGUCGGCACUCUUCUGGUCCUCAUGCUGAUACAGACAGGCAUGACAGACAGUGGGAUUUCUGUAUCUCACAAAUGGCAUGGAGAUUACCUAUCUAUCACCUGUCGUCUCAUGGGGGACAAAGACACUGUUUCUCAGAUCAACUGGGAGAUGACCAGCAGUUCGAACCACACCACCACCAGAUUGAAACUGGGCAUCUUCCACCCCGUGUUUGGUACCUACGUGUUCCCGAAGUACAACGAUACUGUGGAGAUCCAGGGUAACGCCUCCAGCGGCCAUUACACGCUCAGGCUGAAAGGUAGCACUGUGUUGGAGGAGAAUCAGUUCUGCUGUAAAUUCAUGACCUUUCCCUCUGGAGGACUGGAGCAGUGUACAAAUACCAGGAUUAAUGAAAGCACAGAGGAGGCCAAGGUGUCAGAAGGCCCACAGGGUUUACUAGAGGAGAGACAAGUGGAGCAGUGGGCUCUGCUAGUAAUGGGACCUACCAUCUGUCUCCUCAGUAUCGCAAUCUCUCUCUACUACUGCUUGAAGUAUUGCUGCAGACACUGCUGCCGCAGGAGGCGAUUGUUCGAGGUGGAGACUUAUCUGACAGACCAGCACACAGACUCGGAGGAGGUCACAGAGGAGCCACCCCAUCAACCCCCCCUUCCCUCACCUCCUCCCCUCCAGCUCCAGGGUUUUGACCCCUCUAAGCUGUACACUAAGAUCAAGCAGGAUCUGCUGUAUGGACGACUGUGGAAGGCCUACCAGGGGACAGCUAAGGCCUGGGACCCCACAACACAGCAGGGACCACACCAGCAAGGGCCACAACAAGGGGCAGAACUAGGGCCACAAAAGGUAUAUCUUUCUUUCAAAAGUUUUUUAAAAUGAAUAAUGACUAUGCAUAAGGAAACAUUGCCUUACAAAACAGUCAAUUGAAAACAAAGAAAUUGAAAAACAUUAUGUAAUGUUUGUUGAAGCCUGUGCCUCAUGCCAAAUAACACAGAAAUCACACACAUACUGUAGAGUAUUUGAUAAGGUCAUCAUCGUCAUCAGGUCUAUUUUCUUCUGGGGGAUCAUCGGGUGUCACAGAGAGAGGAACCAGAAGAACCAGAACUAGAACCUAAUCUAGAACAAGAACAAGACCCUCAACCAACCCUUGAAGGAACCGUGGAACCACAGACUGAGCCUGAACCUAUCCAUCCAUUAGCCCUGGAACCUGGAACACAGAUGGAGGUUCAAGAACCAGAAUGUAAUUUAGAACUAGAACCCAACUUCCCAUCAACCCUUUCUGCACGGAGGGGGGAACUGGAAUCAGACAUAGGAACAGAGAAAGAGGAAAUUGAAGAAACCAGAGACUAACCCUUCAGCGAGGAGGUUCAUGAAGGGAAGGUGUGUUGUGUUGUUGUGUGUGUGUGCGGGCCGUGCGUGUGUGCGUGUGUACGUGUGUGUUGGGAGGAAUAAUGCACUGUUGACAUUGGGUGAAUAACCCUGACCUCCUAAGGUUAGCUGUCAAUCAAUACGAUUAAUAAUUAUUGCCCCAGUGGGAAAUUUGUAGUGAAAAUUAAACUCACAGGUAAUCGCCAUGGUUUUUUGUUUACUGUGAACAUCGUACAUGUGGUUAGACGUCUCGGCCAUCACUCAGACGUUUCUCUCUCUCACACACACACACACACACACAGACAGACAGACAGACAGACAGACAGACAGACAGACAGACAGACAGACAGACAGACAGACAGACAGAGACAGACAGACAGACAGACAGACAGACAGACACCACACACACACUGGUCAAUGGGGUUUGAAGUCUCGGCCAUCGCUCAGAUGUUUCUCACAUUUGAGCUCACAACAGUGUGGCAUACAGUAACUGUAUGAUGUGCGGUGUGAAUAGAACAUUAUGCUUUUGAAUAUAGUAAUGGGUUGAAUGACCUUUAGAUUCUAAAAAAGAGCUUUUAUAGCCAACUUUAUAGCCAACACUGUAAGGAACAAGACAGUGAGUGAUUUUUAUUUUGUGUAUCUGGUUUUGUGAUUGCAAUUUCUGUAUAUAAUGUUUAUUUCUUUGUUUCAAUUAAAAAUCAGACUAGCAAAAGUGUUUGAGUCCUUCACUUGAUAUCUAGAAUAUGCCUGCUUUUUUUGGGGGGCCACUGGGGGACGACACAAGACCAUUUAUUCACUAACCUCAGUCCCAGGAAAUUUAGCACAACGCAUACGUCAACGAUUCAUAGUUGGCCUUAGUGGGAGU
ensembl:lncRNA